UCUGUUUUCUCAUUGGCUACUGGAAGCAGAGAAUCUGUUUUCUCAUUGGCUACUGGAAGCAGAGAAUCAAGUUUUUCCUCAUAGGCUACUUGGAAGCAGAGAAAUCGGUUUUCUAUAGGCUACUGGAAGCACUGUCAGAAUGUGGCUGAUUGUGCAUCCAAAUGGCACCCUAUUCCCUUGGUAGUGCACUACUUUUGAACGGACCCAUAGGGAAUAGGUGCACUAUUUUAGAACAGGACACAUAGGGAAUAGGGUGCACUACUUUUGACAGGACCCAUAGGGAAUAGGGUGGCACUACUUUAGACCAGGACACAUAGGGAAUAGGGUGGCCUAUGUUUUAGACCAGGACACAUAGGGAAAGGGUGCAUUAUUUUAGAACAGGACACAUAGGGAAUAGGUGCAACUAUUUUAGACAGGACACAUAGGAAUAGGUGCACUACUUUAGAACAGGACACAUAGGGAAUAGGGUGGCACUAUUUAGAACAGGACACAUAGGGAAUAGGGUGCACUACUUUAGACCAGGACACAUAGGGAAUAGGGUGCACUACUUUUGAACAGGACCCUAGGAAAUAGGGUGCACUACUUUUUGAACAGGACACAUAGGGAAUAGGUGCCUACGUUUGAACAGGACCCUAGGGAAUAGGGUGCACUACUUUUGAACAGGACCCAGAGGGAAUAGGGUGCACUACUUUUGAACAGGACACAUAGGGAAUAGGGUGCACUACUUUAGACGCAGGACCACAUAGGGAAUAGGGUGCACUACUUUAGAACAGGACCCAUAGGGAAUAGGGUGCACUACCUUAGACCAGGACACAUAGGGAAUAGGCAUAUUCCAUUAUAAACAAUCUCUGUUUAGAGGUGACCUAGCCCUAUUCCUUAUAAACAACUCUGUUAGAGUUGACCUAGCCCUAUUCCAUAAACAACCUCUGUCUAGAGUGACCUAGCCCUAUUCAUUAAAACAACCUCUGUUUAGAGGUGACCUAGCCCUAUUUCAUUAUAAACAACCUCUGUUUAGAGGUGACCUAGCCCUAUUCCAUUAUAAACAACCUCUGUCUAGAGGUGACCUAGCCCUAUUUCAUUAUGAACAAAAGUUGAACUUAGAGAACUUAGAGCCACUGUUACUUUUAUUGUAAAUUAUUUAACUUUUCAUUUUUAUUGUAAAUGAUUAAAAUCUUACUUUUAUUAAUUAAAUUGUACUUUAGCGUAAAUGAUUUAACUAACUUUUAUUGUUAAUUAUUUAAAUUUGAAUUUAUUGUAAAUUACUUUAAUGUUAAACUGUUAUCAUUUUCCAAUGUACUUUUCUAUGUA
rnacentral:lncRNA from 1 species